rnacentral:rRNA from 1 species
AUUGAACGCUAGCGGGAUGCUUUACACAUGCAAGUCGAACGGCAGCGCGGACUUCGGUCUGGCGGCGAGUGGCGAACGGGUGAGUAAUGUAUCGGAACGUGCCCAGUAGCGGGGGAUAACUACGCGAAAGCGUAGCUAAUACCGCAUACGCCCUACGGGGGAAAGCAGGGGAUCGUAAGACCUUGCACUAUUGGAGCGGCCGAUAUCGGAUUAGCUAGUUGGUGAGGUAACGGCUCACCAAGGCGACGAUCCGUAGCUGGUUUGAGAGGACGACCAGCCACACUGGGACUGAGACACGGCCCAGACUCCUACGGGAGGCAGCAAUGGGGAAUUUUGGACAAUGGGGGCAACCCUGAUCCAGCCAUCCCGCGUGUGCGAUGAAGGCCUUCGGGUUGUAAAGCACUUUUGGCAGGAAAGAAACGUCGCGGGCUAAUACCCCGUGGAACUGACGGUACCUGCAGAAUAAGCACCGGCUAACUACGUG